AGGACGAACGCUGGCGGCGUGCCUAACACAUGCAAGUGGAGCGACGAACCAGGCUUCGGCCUGGGGCAGAGCCGCGAACGGGUGAGUAACACGUGGGUAACCUGCCCUGAUGAUUGGGACAACCCGAGGAAACUCGGGCUAAUACCGAAUGUGCCCUCCGGCCUCAAGGCCGUUGGGGAAAGGAAGCUUCGGCCUCCGCAUCGGGAUGGGCCCGCGGCCCAUUAGCUAGUUGGUGGGGUAAAGGCCUACCAAGGCGACGAUGGGUAGCUGGUCUGAGAGGACGAUCAGCCACACUGGGACUGAGACACGGCCCAGACUCCUACGGGAGGCAGCAGUAGGGAAUCUUGCGCAAUGCGCGAAAGCGUGACGCAGCAACGCCGCGUGGGGAAGAAGGCCCUCGGGUUGUAAACCCCUUUCAGUUGGGACGAAGCUUCGUCGGUUAAUAGCCGACUGGAGUGACGGUACCUUCACAAGAAGCACCGGCUAACUACGUGCCAGCAGCCGC
rnacentral:rRNA from 1 species